rnacentral:lncRNA from 1 species
AAAGUGAGCAUCCAAAGUGAGCAAAAGAACAGAGUGACACAAUGACAUAGAUCGAGUGGCAUUCGAUAAAGCUAAUGUGAAAUGACACUAGAGUCAGUGUGAUAUAAAGAACUAAAGUGAUGUAAAGAAUGAGGAAAAUGACAACGUGUAAAGUUAAAGUAAAGUGGGCAAUAAGAACAAGAAUGCUAGAGUUGGCAAGAGUAAAGAAAAUGUAAAGAAUGUGAUUGCAUGAGCUUGCAACAUAAAGUGAUGUAAAGAACACUAGAGCUAGUGUAAAGUCAAGAUUGAACUUAUAAUCCUUUGAGUUAAGGAUAUGAUCAUACUUGCUAUGAGUUCCGU